AUGAUCAUCACUGUUUGGCUUCUUUAUGCAGCACCUAACAUCCAUGGCUGGGGAAAAGAAGGUCAUGAAAUCACCUGUAAAAUCGCGCAGGUUUUGAUUUAUUCAUCUUCUUUCGUCUUUUAGUUUUGAAUCAAAAUAUGUAAAACUAAUAAGUUAAGGAGAAGAACAGGCUAGAUUGGAUGAAACUGCAGCGAAGGCGGUGAGAGAGCUGUUACCUGAAUCUGCAGAAGGGGAUCUGUCGAGCUUGUGUCUAUGGGCUGAUCAUGUCAAGUUUAGAUACCACUGGUCUUCUCCUCUUCACUACAUCAACACUCCUGAUGUUUGUUCCUACCAAUACAAUAGUAAGUGUUUUCAUAAGACACUUCUUACAAAAUCAUCAAAAACCAUAAGUGAGAAGGUUCCAAAAAACUACAGUGUAUAAUGGAUUUUGUCUUCUUUUCUGUCUGAAGGGGACUGCAAGGACGAAGAUGGAGAGAAAGGAAGAUGUGUUGCAGGAGCCAUUUACAAUUACACCACACAGCUUCUUUCCUACACCACUGCUGCUUCAUCU
rnacentral:lncRNA from 1 species